GACGGGUAUCCGGCCUGAGAGGGUGAACGGACACACUGGAACUGAGACACGGUCCAGACUCCUACGGGAGGCAGCAGUAGGGAAUAUUGCUCAAUGGGGGAAACCCUGAAGCAGCAACGCCGCGUGGAGGAUGAAGGUUUUAGGAUUGUAAACUCCUUUUGUUAGAGAAGAUUAUGACGGUAUCUAACGAAUAAGCACCGGCUAACUCCGUGCCAGCAGCCGCGGUAAUACGGAGGGUGCAAGCGUUACUCGGAAUCACUGGGCGUAAAGAGUGCGCAGGCGGGAUAGCAAGUCAGAUGUGAAAUGCUAUGGCUUGACCAUAGAACUGCAUUUGAAACUGUUAUUCUA
rnacentral:rRNA from 1 species